AUCUGCGCCUGCGCGGCGCCGGAGCCCUGGAUCUGGCCGAGCAGCUCGCCCACCUCUUCCUGGUGGUGGCGCCGCAGGUAGCCGCACUCCUCCUGCAGCGCCUGCGCCUUCUUCUGCAGGUCCACGCGCGCCGCCUCGGCCUCCUGCGCGAAGCGCGCCAGCGCGCGGGCCGCCGCCUCGGCCUCCUCUCGCUGCCGGGCCUCGUCGUCUAGGCGCUGGCGCACGUGCGCGAUGUCCUCGAGCAGGUGCUCCUGCUCCAGGCGUAGCUGACCGCGCGCCGCGCCCAGGCGCAGCACCGCGCCGCGCAUCUCGCGGACCUCGCGCUCGUACAGCUCGCCCAUAGCGGAGCGGCCCGCCUGCUGCUGCCGCAGCGCCGCAGCCUCGCCCUCCAGGCUGCGGUUGUGCGCCUCCAGCUGCCGCACCUUGUCGAUGUACCCGGCGAAGCGGUCGUUCAGCGCCUGCAGCUGCUCCUUCUCACUGCGUGAGGUGGCCACCGCCACCAUGCAGCCCUCCGGCCCGUUGCUCAGCGUGUCCAGCGAGUCGGUGCUUGAGGCGGCGCCUGCGCCACGGAAGCGGCUGGGCGAGGCGGACACGGAGCUCACGGACGUCCGUGUCCACGAGUGGAAGCCGCUGGAGGAGCCAGCGGCGGAGCGCGUCCCGCCUGCGCCACCCUUUCGGGCUAGCGCGUAGUGGAGGCUGCCGCCGCCAUGCAGCGGCGCGAACGGGGCGCCCAGCAGCGCGUCCGCGCCGCCGAAGCUCAUCAUGGCCUGAGCAGUAGAGAUGGGGUUUCACCGUGUUAACCAGGAAUGUCUCGAUCUCCUGACCUCGUGAUCCACCCGCCUCAGCCUCCCAAAGUGUUGGGAUUACAGGCGUGAGCUACCACGCCCGGCCCUAGGCUCCACAACUCUAAGAAGCUUUGGUGAGUAAACAGGCCUGAAGAGGUGAAAUCAUUUGCCAAGCACAGAACCAGGAUUCAAAACUUUGCAGUCUGGCUCUAGAAUGCCACCCCGUCCCACCUCAGGACUGGCCCUCUCCUGGGAAUUCCUUUCUCCCUCAUCCUCCAUGUCCUUUCUCUGUGGAGCCGUGUGCCCUGCCCAUAUCUAAGUACAUGUCCUGGGAUCCAGGGGAUGACAUAUACUGGAGUCCCUGGUGCCCAUGCCUUCUGACUCCUCCUAGACCAUGAGCUGAGGGGACAGAGAGUGGCUCUUGCACCUGGGGGGCUCAGGGUGUGUACAGUGGGUGAACAAAUGGGGGGACAUUUGAGGCCCAGGCAGAAGGACACAGAAUGUUCCCUGGUGGCAGCUUAGGAGGGGGCAGGGGCUGGGCAGAGGGGGCAGUUGUGUCCUUCCCUACCUGAACCUCUUCUACUCUCUGGGUCCACCGCCAUGAAAUUAUUCAUUCUGCCACAUUCUCUUGCACCCUGGCUUUCUGUCUGAAAUCCUUUCUCUGCCCCAGUAUUCACUCUCCGACUCUUCAGCUCACUCCUCUUAAUCCUUGAGACGUUCCAGGUUACCUGCUCCCUCAGGAGCUUUGCUAACCCCAAGGUUGUGAUAACUGCUUUCUUUAGGCUCCCACAGUUGCUCGUUCUAAUCCCAACACGGUAUUUGAAGGGCUAUUUAUUUCUCUCCUGACUGGACUGUUGGGAGCUUUGUAAGGGCAAGAGCCAUCUCUUAUUUAAUGUUGUAUUCCUAGGGCCUGGUACCAGAGUAUUAGUAAAGCUUGUUGAAUGAAUAAAUGCGAUUCAGCGGUGACUUCCCAUAGAUGCUACUCCAUGUUAUUCAUGUCACUGUAAUCCAUCUUGGGCUGCAUUUCACAAGCCAGCAUUGAAGAAAGCUGGGCUCAGAGAGCCUUAGAGACCAUCAGUGGUACAGAUGAGGAAACCGAGGGCAGGCCUGGUUCUCACUGCCUCGCCUCUGGUUCUGCGACUGGAGCUCCGUGAGGACAGGAACCAGGACUUGGAUGUUGUUUUCUGGCUUGGCAGGGUGCUUUGCCUGUGAUCACAGUCAUUGCCUUUUACUAGGUGCUUAUAAGGUGCCAGCCCCUUUAUGUGUUUUUCCACGUUUGCAUAUCCACAGGGAAGGGAGGUGCAAUUAUCCCCAUUUACAGAUCAACAAACAGGUGUAGGGAGGUUAAGUAAUUUGGUUAUUUAUCAGUGUCUUCUGGUUCCUUUCAUAAAUUUAUCUGGGUUCCACUGUAGCCUCACAACAUUGUCAUCAAACCCACUUUCGGCGGUGCAGUGGCUCACACCUCUAAUCCCAGCACUUUGGGCGGCCAAGCGAGAGGAUCGCUUGAGCCCAAGAGCUCGAGACCAGCCCAGGCAACACAGAAAAACCUCAUUUCUACAAAAAAUAAAAUAAAAUAAAAAUAGCUGGGUGUGGUGGCGCGCCUGUGGUCCCAGCUCCUCGGGAGGCUGAGGUGGGAGGAUCGCUUAAACCUGGAGAGGCGGAGGUUGCAGUGAGCCGAGAUCACGCCACGGCACUCCAGCCUCGGCAACAGAGCGAGACCCUGUCACAAACGAACACUCUCCAGAGGGGGAAACCGAGGCCCUGGGACUGCAGAACCGGUUUCUCUGCCUCGGCAUACUGCCUCGGCUGGCUCUGCGCUUGAUAGAAUCGCGCCAGCAACAGCGCCCCCUGCAGGCGACGGCGGGCACGCCUGCGUCACAGCCAUCCCCGCCCUUCCGCAGUGGGAACGCCCGAAUGCUUCAUCCGGCCUCGGAAGAUUGAAGAGCGCUCCUCCAAACUGGCUCAGGGAAGCCGGGCGCGCCGCCUUCAGCCCCGCCUUGGCCGCCGCGGCGUCGCAUCAGUGGCAUCCCCAGGGGCUGCAGGAAGGUAGCCGUAGCCUUGGCUGUCGUGGCUUCCCUCAUCGUAACGGCCUGGGGGCAGCGGUGCUCAAAGAACUCAGGGGGUGGGGCUCAGGUAGGGGCAUGGCCGGUGCUCUUCCUAGGGGCGGGAUCCUGGGAAAGGGGAUCGUCCCAGAAGGACCCAGCCACAAGCGAGGACACCGGUGCAUCAAGCCCUGGCGCCUGUGUUUCCGUGAACAGCGCCCUUCUCCUCCUCCCCAGACAUUGGUCCUGGCACCUGUGUGUCCGUGGGCAGCAGCCUCUUCCUCCUCCCCAGACCUCAGUUUCUGCACGUGUGAAAAGGGGGCUCUUCCAAGACUCUUACAUGAAUGCAAAAAUCGGGAUUUCGUCCAGCAUGCUCAGAAUUGUCGACCCUACACAGGCACCUGAGAAAUCAGAGCUGAGUCAGGAGAGCCGGUGUGGAUGUACUGGGAGCUCCUUCCCUUGCUGCGUCAGCACUCUUGAGACUGGAGAGCCCUGGAGGUUGGGGACCGGCCACUUGCUGGUGGACCAGACUCCCUGCAGUCUGGGAUGGUGACAGACAUGAGACAUGGCUGUGGAAGUAAUUGGUAACAGUAGUAGCCCGCAUUUAUUGAGCACUGACUAUGUGCUUGGCUUUGUGUGAAGGCCAGUCACAUGCAUUAUUUCCCCCUCCCACAGCCUUGUCUGGUGGGUACUGCUAUUCUGUCCCCAGUUUACUGAUGAGACAUUUGAGGCCCAGAGUUGCUGGGUAGUAACCAGUCCAAAGUCACCCUGCUGACAAGUAGCUGAAGCAGUAGUCCCCAGUCUUACCUACUAUACUGUACUGAGAAAGGUUUGACCUGGAAGGCAGAAUGGCAGAGGGGGAAAUGACAAGGUUCUAGCAGUAUUAAUAAUAGAUACCAUGCAUUGAGCACCCACUAAGUGCUGGGUGCUGGCCCAAGGGCAUUUCAUGAAUCAUUUAUCCUCCUGACAGUGAACCCUAUACUGUAAAUUUUAUUUCCAUUUCAAAGGUGAAGCUCGGAGAAGUCACUUUAUAUGCCUUAGGGCACAUAUAGUAAAAAACUAACUUUUCGAUUCAUUGAUGGUGCAUUCUGCCUGCCUGCAUGUCACUCUUAGGCAUAUUCCACUCUUCUCUGAGUCAAGCUUUCUCCUACUGUGAAAUGAGAGGCUUGGACUGGGAGACUUUGAAUGUUCUUUCCCCAGCCGAUGUUGUUUGAUUUUAGGGAGUUUUGACAUGAAUGUUGGAGAUCUGGAUUUGAGGAUUACAUUUGUUCCUAAUUAACUGUAAUUUAGGCACAUCUCUGCAUCUCUGGGCUUCAGUUUCCGCAUUAGUAAAAGGUAAGACUAGACCAGGCAUGUUGGCUCAUGUCUGUAAUCCCAGAACUUUGGGAGGCUGAGGAGGAAGGAGGAUUGCUUGAAGCCAGGAGUUUGAGUCCAGCCUGGGCAACAAAACAAGACCCUGUCUCUACAAUAAAAAAAAAUUAAAAAGUUCAAAUUAGCCAGGUGCAGUGGCUCAUGCUUGAAGUCCCAGCUACUUGGAGAGCUGAGGUGGGAUACUCACUUGAGCCCAGGAGUUUGAGGCUGCAGUGAGCUAUAAUCAUGCCACUGCGCUCUAUCCUGGGCAACAGAGCGAGGCCCCGUCUCUAAAAAGAAAAUGGGCUGGGCACGGUGACUCACACCUGUAAUCCUAACACUUUGGGUGGCUGAGGUGGGAGGAUCACUUGAUCCCAGGAGUUUGAGACCAGCCUGGGCAACAUGGCAAAACCCUGUCUCUACGAAAAAUACAAAAAACUGGCUAGGCAUGGUGACAUGUACCUGUGGUUCCAGCUAUCUAGCUAUCCGGGAGGUGGAGGCAGAAGGAUCACCUGAGCCCAGGAGGUUGAGACUGCAGUGAUCCAUGAUCACGCCACAGCCUUGGCAACAGAGUGAGACCCUGUCUCAAAAAAAAAGAAAAAAAAAUUACAGAGAUUAGCAUUUCCAAUCACCAGAGUGCCUUCUGGCUUGAAUAUUUUAUGACUGCAGAUGAAGAGACAACCUGAGGUUCAGCAAACUGCAUCCUCUGAGAAAGUCUAAUGAACGUAAAUCUGCUACCUUACUCAGAAUGUCCCUGGCACAAGUUUCCAAGGAUAGACCCUCUGUGUGAAGGGGAGCAGCUGCCUUUGAGCAAUCAGCAGUAACUGCUUGGGGAGGCUUAGUCCCCUAAUAGUUCAGAAGUCACCUCCAAGGUCAGACGGACCCACAGCUGAACGCCAACACUUCCACUUCUCGGUAAGGCAUCUCAGGCAAGUGACCUUUCCUUUCUGUAUCUCAGUUUCCCCCGUAUAAGAUGGAAUGCUGGCUGGGCACGGUGGCUAAUCCCAGCACUUUGGGAGGCCGAGGCAGGCAGAUCACCUGAGGUCAGGAGUUAAAGACCAGCCUGGCCAACAUGGUAAAACCCCAUGUCUACUAAAAAUACAAAAAUUAGCCAGGUGUGUUGGCAGGCACCUGUAGUCCCAACUACUAGGGAGGCUGAGGCAGGAGAAUCGCUUGAACCCGGGAGGCAGAGGUUGCAGUGAGCCGAGAUUGCUCCACUGCACUCCAGCCUGGGCAACAGAGCAAGACUCCCUCUCAAAACAAAAACAAACAAAACAAAAGGAUGCUAAUGGUACCAGCUUCAUCUGGGAAUUGGUGAGUAAACAUGGGGGGAAAAAUCUAACACCAUUUUUUUGGCCUAGAAAAUUCUCAGUAAACACAACUGUUACUAGUUGUGUCUGCAGCACCAGUCUGGGCAGCACCAGUCUGGGCACUGGGGGAGUUCCUAAGCCUUGGACCCCACCCAUCCUCUAUGCCCUAAGAUGAUUUUAGGGGAGGAGAGGCAGGAUCCUGCUGAGUCAGUGGAGGAUCCAGAGUUAGGACUCAGGCAGCCCCCACCUCUGAGGUUGCCAACACCAGCUUCUGGCCUAAAGUGGCAUUAAUGGGCAUUCUAGCAUGUCCCUAGCUGGCAGCAGCUCCUGGGGAGGGGCAGCGGCCGCUGAGAAUAGGGAGGCAGAGGAAUGGUGUUAGGAGUCCUGCAGUGUGUGCCGGGGACUAUGGCUCAGCGCAUCCUUGUGGUUCCAGGUGAGUUAACUGAAGUGUGUGCCGUGCUUUGGGCUUUUAUGAAGUGCAUUUGCAUCAGUUGUGUCCUCAGGACAGGGUUGAGUGGCAUAGGAUACAGGGUUCUCAACGAGCAGUAUAGGGAUUCGACUACUGCAGACCUGUACAAGGGAUCAGGAACCCCCAAAACUGUGCAGGAUUGUGUGGGUGAUUCUCCAGAGGCAUAAGACCCAAAAAUGUCAAAAGAGUUCUUGAUUUAGGAGUCAGAAGACCUGCUCACUAGAUCCCAUCCCCAUUUCUCCCUUUCUUCCACCCUUCUUCUUCCUUCCUUCCUUCCUUCCUUUCUUUCUUUCAUUUGUUCAUUUGUUCGUUCAUUUUAGAGACAGAGACUUGCUGUGUCGCCCAGGCUGGAGUGCAGUGGUGCAAUCUCAACUCACUGCAGCCUUGACCUCCUGGGCUCAAGCGAUCCACCCACUUCAUCCUCAGCUUCCCGAGUAGCUGGGACAACAGGUGCACACCACUAUGCCUGGCUAAUUUUGUUAUUUUUUUAUUAUUAUUUUUUGGUAGAGACACCCCAUCUCACCAUGUUGCCUGGCUGGUCUCGAACUCCUGGGCUCGAACAGUUCUCCCACCUUGGCCUCUCAAAGUGCUGAGAUUACAGGUGUGAGCCACUGCACCUGGGCCUUCCCUCCUUCUGUCUCAUCCAUUCAACAGACAUUUCCUAAGAUGUGUUUCAGGCCCCACCCUGCACUGGGAAUACAGCCAUGAAGAAGACAGGCUCCCAGCUCCCCAGCAAGUUUGGGGCCAAUUUUGUAAGAACUGAUAGAGGGGGCAAGUCCAGGGGUUGUUAGAGCUUCAAACUGGGGCUCCUGACCCAGCAUGUGGUGGGGGGCAAGCUGGGAGUCAGCAGGGGAGUCCUGGCUCAGUGCCUGUGGCCUUGGGUAGGCCACUAGCCUUGCUGAGCCUCAGUUUACCCCCCUCUCCUUGAUGGGACCACUUGACAGAAUGGGGUGAGGAUGGAGGAGAUGCGGGCCUGGUGGAGCCUCCUCAAAGGGGAUGUGGCUGUGUUUCGGCUCCCAUGGAGCCAGGACACCACCCGGGCACCCAGGCUCACAGCACAGUGCUCCCUUUACUUUGUUGGAGCUGGAGCAUUUCCCGUUUGAAACAGGCCAGAGGAAGAACACUGGUGAGGAAGUCAGAGAUCUGGCCCUGGGCCCCAGGGCUCUGCCUGGCCUCACUGGCCAACCUCAGACACCUUACCGAGGGCCUUAGGUUCCCACCCACACACACAGGAGGCCAGGCUGCCUGAUCUUCUAUGGACAAAUACAUAUGAGCAGCGGGGGUACCAAGAAAGGUGAGCAGCCAGGGAGAGCCUCCCAAAGGAGGUGGCAUAGCUGCAGCCUGAAGGAUUGAGAGCAAGAGUGGGGAAAUAACUGGAUGGGUUCCCUGGUCCCGAAGUGUUUCUGGUAGAACCUCUAGGGGUGAUGGAGGAAUGUGGGGAUGGGGCCCUGGGCUCGGGGAGGAGAGAAGGAGGGUCGGGGAGAGCUGCCCCUUUGCUCCAAGGCUCUCUUAACUGGUGACAAAGAGCAGGCCCUUGGGGCCAGGAAGGCCUCGGUUUGAAUCCUUUUUGACAUUGCUUCAUUAAGGACCCCUAGGUAAGGGUUUCAUCUGUCUAAGCUUCAUUACUUCCAUCUGGGAAAUGGGUGAUAAUCAUACCACAUUCAAAAGGUUGUUGGCUAUUAUAUGACUUUAUUUAUAUGAAAUGUCUAGAAUAGGCAAAUCUAUAGAGACAGAAAAUAGAUUAGUGGCUACCUAAACCUGAGAGGAUAAGGGACUUGGAGAGUGAUAGCUAAAGAGUAUGAGGUUUCUUUUUGGGAUGAUGAAAAUAUUCUUUUUUUCUUUUUCUUUUUCUUUUUUUUUUUUCUUUUGAGACAGAGCUCACUCUGUCACACAGGCUGGAGUGCAGUGUUGCAAUCUUGGCUCACUGCAGCCUCCGCCUCCCAGGUUGCAGCAAUUCUCCUGCCUCAGCCUCCCAAGUAGCUGGAACUACAGGCUCAUGCCACCAUGCCUGUCUAAUUUUGUAUUUUUAGUAGAGACAAGAGUUUCACCAUGUUGGCCAGGCUGGUCUCGAACUCCUGACCUCAAGUAAUCGGCCUGUUUCAGCCUCCCAAAGUGCCAGGAUUACAGGUGUGAGCCACUGUGCCUGGCCUGGGGUGAUAAAAAUGUUCUAAAAUUGAUUGUGAUGGUUGCACAACUCCAUAAACAUGGCAUUGUUGCUUUAAAUGGUUGAGUUGUAUGGGAUGUGAAUUAUCUCUCAAUAAGGCUGUUAUUAAAAAACCAAGAGGUUCAGACGAGAUGUUCCACGCUCCCUAAAUGUUGGCUGUCACUGGUGUUAUUUACUCCUGGCAGCUCUUCCAGCCCUCCUCCAGAGAGGGCUGAUAGGUUCCGGGAGAAGGGGAAGGGGCCUGGGCCCCUACUAGCUGGCUAGGGGCCCCAAGCAAGCUACAUAACCUCCCUGAGCCUCAGUUUUCUCAUCUGUGAAAUGGGUGGGGGCGGUUUUCCAGGCCUUGGCCACCUCUUUGGACACUGUGCUGCUCAGAUCAGACCAUGGGCUUUGCUAGAUAUAGUUACAUGGCCAGUUGUAGAGAAGGGCAGUGGGGGGAUUGGAUGUUCUCUCCGUCUGCACCCAGAGGGGCUGACUUCACACAUCCGCUCAUGGUUGCAUACCGAGUGUGUUUUGUGAGCAAGGCACCAUGCAGGAGAUGGAGGAGGGACCGCAAGAGCCUGUGCCCCAGCCUGCCUGGAGCUCAGAGCCCCAGAAAAGGGACACGCAAGGGUUUGCCAGGGCUGAUGGGAGCACUGCUGGCUGUGCAGGCCAUCAUUUCAUCACUCUGGCCCUCAGUUACCUCAUCUGUAAAAAGGGGAAUAAAUGGUACCUCCCUGCUAGGGUCGUGCUGAGGCUCACAGUGGCUGGCAUAGCAUCUCUAGUAAAUACACAGGAACCAUUGUCGUCACUAUGGCUAUCAAUAUCAUCAGCCAUCAGGUGCCUUUUGUCCCCUCCCCCCCUCCCCUUGGCUAACUUGUCGCAUGGUGAAUCAUGUCAGGGCUAGCUUUCCUGUCUCUGUCCCUGCCCCAGAGCAUCAACCAACUUCCAGGGUGGAGCCUGGAUGCUCCCUUUUCAGACCCAGCCCACGCACCCAAAGAAGCUGUAGGCUCCUCAGUGAGCCUCGAGCCCCUUUCCUGCCCCCAUUUCUUCAGGCCCAGCUGCAGAAGGCAUGACCCUCUGGCCAGCCCGAGACUGAAGCCUCCCUCCUGUCCUGUCCUCUCCUUCCACCUGGCUGCAGGGUAAGGUCAACAGGCCACCCCCAGCCAGCCUUUCUGGGCGUUCUACUCUCUCUGCGGCGAGAGCCAGUUGAGCCCAACUCAGAAUCUCCUCCCGCAUUCCUCCACCUGCAGAGCCGCAGCAGGGCUGGGGACCUGGCCUGGGCCUCCACAGCCUCUGCAGCAUCCCUGUCACUGUGGUGGGCGAAGGGCCCAGAUGGGGGGCAGGCAUCCCUGCUGGAUGCUAGUCCCUGCUCCUGACCAGUAGCCGCAGUGCCUGAUUUAUGGCUCCCUCUGGGCUCUCUCCAGCAAAACUGCUUGCAAACCACUCCUGGCCUGUUCUUUUCUGGGUCCUGGUUUGCAGACAGGUUGCCUCAGGCCACAGCCUGCAGCCCCACCCCACCACACCCCCAGUCCCCAACCACCAGGCACCUGGGACAUCAGGGCAGGUUGUGCCUUGAGAAGAAGGACAAAGUUCCAUCCCAGCCCUGCCAUGGGUGGGCUGGAUGGCCUAAAGUGGCUUAUGGAACCUCUCUGGGCCUCAGGUUUGCUGUUUGCACAUUGAAUGAUCUUGAAGGUAUCCUCACUGAUACCCAUGCUUCUGAGUUUCCUUCACAUGGCCCCACCGCCUCCCAAGUCUUUUGCCUUGGAACUGAGUCUCCUUUUUUUUUUUUUUUUUUUUGAGAUGGCGUCUUGCUUUGUUGCGUAGGCUGGAGUGCAGUGGCACAAUCUUUGUUCACUACAACCUCCGCCUCCUGGGUUCAAGAGAUUCUCCUGCCUCAGCCUCCCAAGUAGCUGGGAUUACAGGCGUGUACUACCAUGCCUGGCUGAUUUUUGUAUUUUUAGUAGAGAGGGGCUUUCGCCAUGUUGGCCAGGCUGGUCUUGAACUCCUCACCUCAAGUAAUCCGCCCACCUCAGCCUCCCAAAGUGCUGGGAUUACAGGUGUGAACCACCAUGUCUGGCCUGGAACUGGGCCUUCCAUGUGUCUAAAUGGAGACCCCAGCAACCAGGCCAGGUGAGCAAGAAAGAACUAGGCCUGGGUGGGUGAUGGGUACUGGAGACACCCAUCUUUGGAGCCCCACAGCCUUGGGCAGGACCGCUGGCUUUUUCCAGGCCACUCUCUUGCCUCCCUGAGCCCCAUCCAUAAAAUAGGGAGAGUCGGACCUGAGCUAUUGCAGGUGGAUCCCUGUGCUAGACACAGCUUGAGCGGGUGACAAUAAAUAUGGGUCUCUUUUCCCUUCAAGGCCUGGCUCAGCAUCCUCAAGCCUGGUUCCCAGGGGCUGCCAAGUCCAGGCCACUGCAGACAGUGGGAGCAUGGGCUGUGGGUGGGCAUUUUGUGGCCAGCGUGGGGGUGGGGGUGGCGGUCAUCACUGUGCCUCCAGGUCAUCUGUCUGAUCCAUGAGCAGGAAGUGGGGAGGCCACAGUGGUCCCCAACACUGGGUGUCUGCAAGGAGGGCGUGGAACUGUCGAGAGCUUGGUGGCCUGUUUGCUCAUGUGUGCAUCCACUCAGACAUAUUUAGUCAGCAUCAUCUUCUUCUUCUUUUUUUUUUUUUCUUUUGAGACGGAGUUUCACUCUUGUCACCCAGGCUGGGUCUCAGCUCACUGUAACCUCUGCCUCCUGGGUUCAAGCGAUUCUCCUGCCUCAGCCUCCCAAGUAGCUGGGACUACAGGUGCACGCCACCAUGCCCGGCUAAUUUUGUAUUUUUAGUAGAGAUGGGGUUUCACCAUGUUGGCCAGGCUGGUCUUGAACUCCUGACCUUAGGUGAACCACCUACCUCGGGCUCCCAAAGUGCUAGGAUUACAGGUGUGAGCCACCGCACCUGGCCUAGCCAGCAUCUUCCUGAUGGCCACUCUGCACCUGGGUCUGCAGAGGACCGUUCUAAGCACCUUACAUGCAUUAACUUGCUUUUAUCCUCACGACAACCCUACAGGGUAAGCACUGGUCACAUCAUUUUUGCUCAAGGUAACACAGCUGAUAAAUGGUAGAAUCAGGGUCUGAAGCCGGGCCAUCCUUUCAAGUCCAUGGCAAACGCCUUUUCUCAGCUUCGCACUGCCCUCAGCACCAGCCUGCUUCCUGCUCAUCUGGAAGCAGCAUUGCAUCCCCGCUCUGGCCUUCGCUCUUGCUGCUCACCGCACCGCCCCCUUUCCUGACUCCCUUUCUCCUCUGAUUGAACAACAAACUGAUAGCCUUCUAGACUCAGCUGUAUGGCUGGGUGCAGUGGCUCAUACCUGUAAUCUCAGCAUUUUAGGAGCCUGAGGUGGGAGGAUCACUUGAGGUCAGGAGUUCAAGACCAGCCCGGGCAACAUGAUUGAAACCCUGUCUCUACAAAAAGUACAAAAAUUAGCCAGGUGUGGUGGUCAGCGUCUGUAGUCCCAGCUACUCAGGAGGGUGAGGCAGGAGGAUUACUUGAGCCUGGGAGGUCAGGCUGUAGUGAGCCGAGAUUGCACCAGUGUACUCCAGCCUGGGCAGCGACAGUGAAACCCUGUCUUGAAAAAUAAAAAAAUAAGACUCAGCUGUGGCAUCACCUCCUCCAGGAAGCCUUCCUUGAUGCCCUUCCUGUCCCAGGCUGAAUUAGGCUCCUCCACUGGCCUCUCUCAGUUUCCCCUGUCCGGCACUCAUCCAUCUUGUUGCAAGCAUCUGUUCAUGUGUUUACCUCCUCUACCAGACUGUAAGCCCCUCGUCCUCACCUUGACACCCACUGUGCCUGGCACCAUUUGUGGUACAGAGGAGAUCACUGGGGAAUUUUGAAGGGCCAAAUCUUUUUUUUUUUUUUUUGAGAUAGAGUUUUGCUCUUGUUGCCCAGGCUGGAGCGCAAUGGCACAAUCUCAGCUCACCACAACCACCGCCUCCCGGGGUUCAAGUGAUUCUCCCACCUCAGCCUCCCGAGUAGCUGGGAUUACAGGCAUGCGCCACCACAGCUGGCUAAUUUUGUAUUUUUAGUAGAGACAAGGUUUCUCCAUGUUGGUCAGGCUGGUCUCAAACUCCCAAACUCAGGUGAUCCACCCGCCUCAGCCUCCCAAAGUGGUGGGAUUACAGGCGUGAGCCACCAUGCCCGGCCUUUUUUUUUUUUUUUUUUUUUAAUGGAGUCUUGCUCUGUUUCCCCGGGCUGGAGUGGCAUGAUCUUGGCUCACUGCAACCUCUGCCUCCUGGGUUCAAGCAAUCCCCCCACCUCAGCCUCCUGAGUAGGUGGGAUCAUAGAUGUGUGCCAGCAUGCCCAGCUAAUUUUUUAUAUUUUUAGUAGAGACAGGGUUUUGCCAUGUUGGCCAGGCUGGUCUCGAACUCCUGACCUCAAGUGAUCUGUCUGCCUCAGCCUCCGAAAGUGCUAGGAUUACAGGCAUGAGCCACCAUGCCUGGUCAGAUGACCAAAUCUUGAUCGUUCGUAACCUUGUGAAUAGUGGACAAGUUCUAGUAUCUGUUUCACAGAGGAGGAAACUGAGGCACAGAGAGGUGACAUGAUUUUCGCAACUCACAGAGCUAGUGGUGACAGAGCUGGCAUUUGUUGGAAUGGCCUCCAUUUCAGAACAAGCUCCUAGAAGGGUUUACCAAACCAGGGCUUAAAUUUUUUGAAUUAUUUAUUAAUGGCUCAAAAGUCUGAAGGCGCGAAGGGUAGACAGUGAAAAAUCUCCCUUCUCUUCUGUCCCCAGCCACCCAAAUCCUCCUAGGGAAGCAGCCGGGGUGAUCUGAUUCUCAGGUGUCCUUCUCAGCAGUGUGUGUGUUCCCAGACAAACCCAGCAUGUGUUAUUUAGAACCAGGUUUAAACCCAGGCCUGUGGGAUGCCCAUCUCACCUGGGGCUGCUCAGGGCUUGGGACAGGGUCCACCAUGUCCUGGCAAAGAUAUCGGGCCACCAGAGGCCUCCAUCUCCCCAUCUGGGGUCCCCUCCCUGUCCCAGGUCCCCUCCGGCUGUUGCUGUGCCUCCUCAACGGAGCUGCCUGCCUGGAUCUGCUCCCCAGGCUGCAGCAGAGGCUGGGCUCAGGCCCACAGCCCGGCAGGGCUACAAUGGUGAAGGGCUGCUUUGGGCUGAGGGGGCCUCCCUUCAGGCAGUCUGACACUUGCUUUCAUUAUUCCUCACAGAACGGGCCCAGUGUGGGGAAACAAGCCCAGCAAAGGCAGGGGCCAGAGUGAGGAGGCACUGGGCAGGCGGGGCACACAGGGCACAUCACGGCAGGGCAGGGCAGGGAUGCUGGCUCCACCCCUUUCUGCUGGGAACCGAGUGGGCAUAAUAGCUCCCCGAGCAGCCUCUUUUCUCUGAAGAUUAAGAGACAGUACCUGGAAUUGCUUGGAGAAUGCAGUAAGCGCUCCAGAAGUGGUGACUGGAGUGUUAUAGUUAGGGAGGCUCCGGGCUUUUCCACCACCCUAGACUUCCCUGUGACCCCUGAAAAGCAGAGACACAAGACCCUUGGGGCCUGUGCUCAGGGCUCUGACCCAGUCCCUUCCCCUGUGUGCAUAAAUAUUUGGGGGAUUGUUGUUGUUACUCUUUUUUUUUUUUUUUCUUGAGACAGAGUUUCGCUCUUGUUGCCCAGGUUAAGGUGCAGUGGCACAAUCUCGUCUCACCGCAACUUCUGCCUCCCAGGUUCAAGCAAUUCUCCUGCCUCAGCCUCCUGAGUAGCUGGGAUUACAGGCAUGUGCCACCACGCCCAGCUAUUUUUUUGUAUUUUGCAUAGAGACAGCGUUUCACCGUGUUAGCCAGGAUGGUCUUGAUCUCCCAACCUCAGGUGAUCCGCCCACCUUGGCCUCCCAAAGUGCUGGGAUUACAGGCGUGAGCCACCACGCCCAGCCCUGUUGUUGUUACUCUUAUUGGUGUCCAGUCUUAUGAUGUCCAAUAGGAAACCAGGACUCCCACCUCCACCCUGUUGCCCAGGGUAGCUUUGGUGGAGGGCAGGGCAGCAGUGAAUAUGUGCACAGGUUUGGAGGGUGGGGAGGAGGCUACCAGGAGGCUGGGUGGGGCACAGACAGAGCACAGGGCUAGGAACCAGGCCUUUGGGGUUCCCCUCUUACAUAGGAGCCCUGGGUCUGCCUGAAUCCAGUUCCCUCCUCUAUGAAAUUAGGGUGAUCAUCCCUCUCCCCAUUAACUUCAUGGGAUUUGGGAUGCUCUGGGGAGAGAAUGCAUGAGAGAAUCUUUGCCUUGAACUCCUGGCCUCAAGUGAUCCUCCUGCUUCAGCCUCUUAAACUGUAGGGAUUACUGGGAUUACAGGCAUGAGCUACUGCACCUGGCUGGGGAUCUUUGCCAUCUGCAAAUCAGAGGUGGCAAGCAGGCAUCCACAGGCCUGCAGAACCACAGAGGACAUUAAAGGGAUUUGAUUUGGAAAUAGUAGUAAUGAUUGUGCAAUAUUUUGAAUAUAAUUAAUACCACUGGCCUGUACACUUAAAAUGGUAAAAAUGGGCAGUUUUGUGUAUAGAUUUUUUUUCUUUUCCUUGCCCAUCUUUUUUUUUUUUUUUUUUUUUUUUUUUUGAGACAGGGUCUUGCUCUGUAAGCCCAGGCUGGCAUGCAGUGGUGUGAUCUUGGCUCAUGGCAACCUCUGCCUCCCGGGUUCAAGUAAUUCUCCUGCCUUAGCCUCCCAAGUAGCUGGGAUCACAGGCAUGCACCACCACACCCGGCUAAUUUUUGUAUUUUUAGUAGAGAUGAGGUUUCGCCAUGUUGGCCAGGCUGGUCUCGAACUCCUGACCUCAAGUGAUCCACAGGCGUCGGCCUCCCAAAGUGCUGGGAUUACAGGCGUGAGCCACCAUGCCCGGCCUUACACAGCCAUUUUAAAUAUGGAAAAAAAAAAAGAGGAUUUGAGUUAGUUGCCCUAUCAGUCAGAAAAACAGAACCCACUUUAGGGGGUCCAAUGGGGGAAAUUUUGGAAAGCCAAACAGGAGGCUGGACAGAGGUGGGUUACCCAAACCCAUGGCCUGGGACCACAGAGGUCUAUCUGGAGGGAAUUGUAAGUUUGGAGAAGACCCAGCCACUGCCCAAAGGCUGGAAAAACCCGGGCCUCUUCUAUCUGCCAGUCUCCCUUCAGUGCCUCCCAUUGGCUGGACCUAAUCAACGCCGGUUUGCAAAGGAGCUUGGGAAAUGUAGUUUGAAGGGUUAGUUCCCCCACCUUUCCAGAUGGUGAGCAGAGGAGGGACAGCAAAUGGAUGUGAAAUCAUACAGCAGGCAGGGCAUGGUGGCUCAUGCCUGAAAUCCCAGCACUUUGGGAGGCCAAGGCGGGAAGAUGACUUGAGGCCAGGAGUUUGAGACCAGCCUGGGCAAUAUAACAAGACCCUCAUCUCUACAAAAAAUUUUAAAAAAUUAGCCAGGCAUGGUGGCACACACCUGUAAUCCCAGCUACUAGGAGGCUGAGGUGGAGAAUGGCUUAAGCCCAGAAUUCGAAGCUUCAGUGAGCUAUGAUCGCACCACCGCACUCCAGCCUGGGUGACAGAGCAAGACCCUGUCUCUUAAAAAAAAAAGAAAAAACAUCAUAUGGCAAAUGAGGGUUAUAGUUGUCAACAUGAAAUGACUGGGCGAUUUAGCAUAAAAAUCUGGAUUUAUAGAUUCUCCUGAAACACCAAAGGCUCCACUCCCUUGAGUCCAACAUCUUAGCCUAGUUUUGCUGUUUACAUUGUCCUUGGGGAGCCCUGCUGAGGAGUCCUGAGAAGCCUACAGGGUGAGGGGCAUGAGGGGACCCCAUAUCCUUCAGGGUGGGAUCAGAGGAGGAGAAGCCAUGAGGACCCUGAGGCAGGUGGGCUGAGCAGGCAGGGCCAGGGGAUCCAAUGGGGCCAUCAGUUUCUAGAGAGAGCACAUUGGGGAUCUGGAACUGUGGGGACCUUCCUAUUGUUGCUUUUGUGUGUGUGUGUGUGAGACAGUCUUGCUCUGUCACCCAGGCUGGAGUGCCGUGGUGCGAUCUCAGCUCACUGCAACCUCUGCCUCCCAGGUUCAAGCAGUUCUUUGCCUCAGCUUCCCGAGUAGCUGGGACUACAGGCGCCUGCCACCACUCCCAGCUAAUUUUUGUAUUUUUAGUAGAGAUGGGGUUUCACUAUCUUGGCCAGGCUGGUCUUGAACUCCUGACCUCGUGAUCCACACGCCUCGGCCUCCCAAAGUGCUGAGAUUAUAGGCGUGAGCCACCACGCCUAUUGUAGCUUUUAGAGACUGUCUGGUCUUAACGCAACUGUGAGGGUUGUGUUUGUUCAUUUUAGUUAUCUUUCUGACACUGUCAGGCCCUGUGUUCUAAAUUUUCCAGGAAAGCCCAACGUGUAAACUGAUGACAGACUAUCCUGGAGGAAGAGGUGGGGCAGCCUGGAGUUUUCCUCUGGACAUCCUGAGAGGGAUACUGAAGCACUCAGGAGGGGUCUUAGACCUGCCCAAGCUCACUCACACAGUUUGAGAAGAGCUGCGCUUAGACCACAGGCCUCUUGGCUCCUGGGAAGCUGAGAGCAUCGGCGUGGGAGUUCGUCAGACAGGGGCAAGUUCCAACCGCAGCUCAGUGACCUCAGACAAGCCCCCUCACCUCGCAGAACCAGGUUCUUCUUCAGAGUUGUAGGAAGGAGUGGAGGAGGGUCUCCGCAUGUCAGAUGUCCACACAGUGCCUGGGAGCUGAGGUUGUCAUGGUUACCAAGAGGCCAGUCUCAGGGCUGCUGUGAUGACCUGGGCUGCUCUCCCAUUCCCAAGAAGGGGAGAACUCCUCAGAUUCCCUACUCUGCUCUUCUUGCUCCCUCCCAAGCAAUACAUGAGCAGGAAUUUGUCCUCUGCAGGAAUGUGCAGCGAGAAAGUCUCCUUUUUUGAUGAGACAGCGAUGAGGUGAUGUCUGGUUUUUUAUAUCCUCACUUGCUGAACUGGUGCCAGAUGUAAGAGUCCAGGCUGGAUUCCAUUAGCCAUAUUUGUCCUCUGGGCUCCCAGCCCUGCAGGACCUUCUGGGGGCCCACCUUGAGACCCUCCAGUUGGUAAGAAGUUGGCUGGGGCAAAUGAUGCAGCCCUAAGACGAACCAUUUCCACUGGGGACUCAGGCAGGGUCCCUGAGAGCCUGACUUACUCGAGUCUUUUCUUUAAAAAUUAAAAAAACAAGGCUGGGCGCGGUGGCUCACGCCUGUAAUCCCAGCACUUUGGGAGGCCGAGGCGAGUGGAUCACGAGGUCAGGAGAUUGAGCCCAUCCUGGCUAACAUGGUGAAACCCCUUCUCUACUAAAAAUACAAAAAAUUAGUCGGGCAUGGUGGUGGGCACCUGUAGUCCCAGCUACUCAGGAGGCUGAGGCAGGAGAAUGGCGUGAACCCGGGAGGUGGAGGUUGCAGUGAGCCGAGAUCGCACCACUGCACUCCAGCCUGGGCAACACCGUGAGACGCCAUCUCAAAAAAAAAAAAAAAUUAACAAAACACAUUGAUCUUUUUUUUUUAUUUUUACCGAAGUAAGAAACCCUUUGAAGUUUAGGAGCUGCAACUAAUCCACGUUGAAGGCUAAUCGGAGGCCUAGAUAGGUUAAUACCUUUCCCAGAGGAACCCAGUGGUAAAUGUAAAUGUCAGAUUGAUCAAUUGUAGAUUGAACUUCAGAAGCUGGAGUCCUCAUUACUAUUCUGGGGUGAUGGUCGACUCUAUUUGCUCAACAGAAGGAUCAGUGGCCUGGAGAAUUUGAGAUAGUUGGUGAUAACAUUAUAGGAUUCUAUUUUAAAUGGGAAAGAAAUUCCUAAAAGUUAAACGCAUGUUAAAAAAAACUAUAUUAAGGCCGGGUACAGUGGCUCUUGCCUGUAAUCCCAGCACUCUGGGAAGCCGAGGUGGGAGGAUCGCUUGAGCCUAGGAGUUCCAGAUUAGCCUGGGCAACACAGUGAGACCCCAUCUCUAAAAAAAAGAACAAAAUUAGCUGGCAUGUCAUUGUGCACUUGUAGUCUCAGCUCCUUGGGAGGCUGAGGUGGGAGGAUUGCUUGAGCACAGAAGGGUGAGGCUGCAGUGAACUGUGAUCACACCACUGUGCUCCAGCCUGGGUGACAGAACAAUACCUUGUCUCAAAAAUAAAAAAAUUCAUAUACAAAAAUGCCUGAGGUAUACAAUGAAAGCUCUUGAAAGCCACUGUCUACAGAUAAGCAUUAGAGCCACUUACACAGAUUUUUUCAGAUUUUUCUAUGCAUUUAUAUGUUAAAAUUUAUAUUUUUAAAAGAUUAACACUAUACAUUCUGUUUUGCAGUUUGCUUUUGCAAAUAGCAGUAGCUCCUGAAAUGUGGAAAUUCUUUACCUGGCUGAUUCAUGACAAACUUGGUGGGAGAAGUAGCUGGUAAAGUUUUAUGCAAAAUUGUGUGUUGUGUGUAUGUGAGCAUUCUUUAGAAAUAGUGACUAUGAUUCUCAUCAGAAUCUUAGGAAAGAUUCAGACCCAAGACCCUUGAUUUCAGAUGGGGAAGGGACUCAGUCCUCGGGCUGGCCUUGAAGGAUGAGGACAAGAAUGCUGCAGUCGCCUGGCCCUGGGCAUCCUGCCCUGGCCUUGGAGAGGAGCUGCAUUCUGCAGAGCCAGAAGGAGGACAAGAGAGGCAGCCUGCCCAAGCACCAGGCUGAGCCUCUGCAGUCCCUGCCAGGAGAAGACUUACAGCCGCCGGGAGCUUGGGAAGGUUACAGAGAAAAAGCCUCUCGCAGCACUUGGGAGGACACUGCCUGCAGCACCGCGCCUGCUGUGGGCCUGCUCCAGGGUCAGGGAAGCCUCUGAGGGACAGGCUUGGGGCACAAGGGUGGGUGAGGGGCAGGGGAGAGAGUGUACUCUCUGGGCCAGGACCCCGGCACACCUAGCACACAGACCAUGGGGAGGGUGCCAAACACAGGACUUGGCUACAUUUUGUUACUGUCACUUUGAGUAUUACCUGUGCAAUCGAGCAGGCUUUAUGGAUCUCAGACUGCCCAGGACUUUUCUGGCUGCUAUGGGAGGAUGUAAGAUUUACCAAGAACACCAGCCACCACCCAGAAAGCAGGUUUCUCAUGUGAGCCCUGCGCCAAGCACUGUAUGUGCACAUGCCAGAUUUUAAUUUGCUGUGGGGAGGUGCUUUUAUACUCGCCACUUGACAGUGGCCCCCAAAAAGCCAAGAAACCUGUCCAAGGCCCAUGGGAUCAGCAGGUGUUGAUUUAAUACUGGUACCCCCAGUUGCAGAGUCCCCAGCCUCAACCAUAGGCACUCUCCUCUGCCCCCCGGGGAGGGACUGCCACCCUGACUCAGGGAUGACCUCUGCGAGAUGAGAGCAGAGGGGUUUUGUUCUGUUUCAACCUUUUUUGUUGUUUGUUUUUGAGACGGAGUUUUUGCUGUGUUGCCCAGGCUGGAGUGCAGUGGUGCAAUCUCAGCUCACUGCAGCCUCCACCUCCUGGGUUUAAGCAAUUCUCCUGCCUCAGCCUCCUGAGUAGCUGGGAUUACAGAUGCAUCUCACCAUACCCAGCUAAUUUUUUGUGUUUUUAGUAGAGAUGGGGUUUCACCAUGUUGGCCAGGCUGGUCUCAAACUCCUGACCUCAGGUGAUCCACCCACCUCGACCUCCCAAAGUGCUAGGAUUACAAGUGUGAGCCACUGAGCCCGGCCUCAACCUUUUUUUAUUAUUAUUUUUUGAGAUGGAGUCUCACUCCAUCGCUAGGCUGGAGUGCAGUGGCACAAUCUCGGCUCACUGCAACCUCCACCUCCUGGGUUCAAGUGAUUCUCCUGCCUCAGCCUCCUGAGUAGCUGGGACUACAGGCGCCCGCCACUACACCCGGCUAAUUUUUUGUACUUUUAGUAGAGAUGGGGUUUCACCAUGUUGGCCAGGAUGGUCUCAAUCUCCUGACCUCGUGAUCCACUCACCUCAGCCUCCCAAAGUGCUGGUAUUACAGGUGUGAGCCAUCGCGCUUGGCUUUUUUUUUUUUUUUUUUUUAAACCACAAGCAUGUGUCACUUUUAUAGUUAAGAGGAAAAACAAACUUUUUCUAAAAAUCUGUAUUUCUGAAAUGGUUAGCAGGAGCCCAGCUGAGUCUGGGGUGCUGCAGGCCUCCUGCCUGUGGGGACCUCUCCUAGGCACCUCCUUUCUUAGACCCAUCCUUAGGGCUGGGAGAAACUCCUUCCACAGUGUUCUUGGCUUCAAAGCAGGGCAGGCUUCCCAGAUGGGGAAGCUCAUAGGCUGGUGGGGGUGAGGUGCGGUGGGGAGCGGCAGAGAGACCUUCCAGGCCAGGUGUCCAGCCUAGAAAAAGGCUCAGAAGUGUGCAUGAGUGUGAGCUGUUGUUGGGAAUAAGAAGAUUGUCCCAGGAGGGCCCAGUAUGCACUAGAGGCUUAUAAGUAAUACUGCUGGGGGCCAGGUGUGGUGGCACGCACCUGUAAUCCCAGCGCUUUGGGAGGCCAAGGUGGGCAGAUCACCUGAGGUCAGGAGUUCGAGACCAGCCUGGCCAACAUGGUGAAAUCCUGUCUCUACUAAAAAUACAAAAAUUAGCCAGGCGUGGUGGUGGGAGCCUGUAAUGCCAGCUAUUUAGGAGGCUGAGAUAUGAGAAUCACUUGAACCCAGGAGGCAGAGGUUUCAGUGAGCUGAGAUUACACUGCUGCACUCCAGCCUGGGUGACAGAGUGAGACUCCUCAAAAAAAACAACAACAACAACAACAAAAAGAAAUAGGCCGGGCAUGGUGGCUCAUACCUAUAAUCCCAGCACUUUGGGAGGCCGAGGUGGGUGGAUAACCUGAGGUCAGGAGUUCGAGACCAGCCUGGCCAACAUGUUGAAACCCUGUCUCUACUAAAAAUACAAAAAUUAGGCAGGCGUGGUGGCACGCACCUGUAGUCCCAGCUACUCAGUGGGCUGAGGCAUGAGAAUCGCUUGAACCCAGGAGGCGGAGAUUGCAGUGAGCUGAGAUCGUGCCACUGCACUCCAGCUUGGGCAACAGAGCAAGACUCUGUCAAAAAAAAAAAAGAGAAAGAGAAAAGAAAGAAAAAAGAAUGAAAGAAAGAGAA
rnacentral:lncRNA from 1 species